UUAUCAGAAGCGCUAUUUGUGUGUCCAGGACAACGGUGGGAGAAAUUCAGACCCAGAGCUGAUCUGCUAAGGAAUGGCUUCUUUUCCAAGAGCUAAAGCAUCAUUUUCCUCUCUUCUCUGCUUUGCAGAGUAGAUACACCAUUUCUACCUCUUCUGCCUUUCACAGGGCAACUACAGUAUCAGGAUUGUACAUGCUUCCAUGGUUCUGAACUCCACUCAAGAUUGCGUGUUCCUAGACCUACAGCACCCGAUGGCUUCCAUGACGCUCCUGCCUUCUUUCACACCAGAGCCCACACACUUGCCAUCCAACCUCUCACUAUAGGUAAAAAACUGGGAACCAAUGUGCUCGAUCCAGUAUUGGCCAUGGACAAAACAUGAGGACUGCAUGCUUUGAGGUGGAAUUCUAUCAAAUUUCUCCCUGUAUAUGGACUUGCCGUGAUUGCUAUUAUGACAUGUGAUGCUGUCGUCCUGGGAUAAUUCUAUGAAAGGAGAAACCCUAAUAGUCAAACCUUUCUCUCCGCUGCUCAG
rnacentral:lncRNA from 1 species